AUCUUUGCUUGCUCCAGUUAUACAGUGCUCAAUUUGGUUCAAAGAAUAAGACCCUCUAAAUUUUUAUCUGAUUAUAGUUCAUCAUUUGCAGGGUUUCCCCCAGAAAAUUGACACACUUAUUAAAUACAUGGCAUUUGCCAUUUGCUGUGAGAAAUAGAUAAUAGAUAAUGUACUGCUAUAUCACAAUAUACGAUAUGGCUAUCCAGACAUACAAUUACAUACACAUAAAGCUUUUAUCCGUAAAUCCGUAUUAUUACACUAUCUGUUAUCCUUAGAAAGUGCCAUGUUUGGUUUAAUUGUAUUUGCUUACACUCAUUUUAUGUUAUUAUGUUUUAUUUUUUAUGUAUAAGUGAUGUGUUUCUGAAAUCGUGACGAUGUCAUCUUGGAAUCAAACUCUUAUGUUCUUGGUGAUGUUUACAAGAUGUCUGCCUAGUGGACAUCUUUGAGCUCCUGAGCUUUCAGGAGGAGGAGAGCUGAGGAUAUGACUCACAUUUUUUCUUUGUUCGCCUCCUUCACCUUCCCUACCUGAUGAUACAAUAGCACAACAUCUCAGCCUCGUGUUGUUGAAAAGUCCUCAGAGAUGCAGAUUUCUCACCGCUCGCUUUGGUGCAAAUGGCUUGAUUUAGACCGUGUGGUUGUUAAGAAAAUGGGUCCGCUGCUGCUUGUGUUUAACGAGCACUGAGACAGCGACAUGUCCCUCUGUAGUGUAGGUGUACUUCAGGGACUAUGUCGCUGUUUGUAUUGACCUCAUCAUGUCUCAGAAGAGUCACAGAUGAAUAAUUGUUUUGACAUCAGGGCUUCGAAGUUAGUUGUUGAGAUUUUUGGUGCUGCAGUUAAGGUGGUGUAAGAGGCAGACGUGCAGUAAAAUAUCUUUAUUCUCCAAAACGUUAAGGCUAAUUAUGAGCUAUAAUCUUGAUCAACUAAACAUACACUUACAAUAUAAUAAUUGAUAUGCAUUGUAGCUUAGUGACUGUGCAACAACAGAGGACUUGCUUAAACUCUUUUAAGUACAAUGUGUCAUUUUAAGAUCACCCGUGUCCUUGUGUUGCAAAGUAACCCAACCAAGACACACAUACAAACACAAACCUAUUCAAAAUGGCACUGCUUGUUGAGUGGGCAGAGCUGGGGACACACUGUGGCUUGUCCAUACUUAGAUUGUACUACUGUAACAUCAUGGGGGACAGAACCUUGGCCUGCCAGGCCUUCCAGGCAUUCCUCCCCCAGGAUUAUGCCACCAUGGUGAGGGGAGGUGGAUUUGGAUGAUGCGUGACCCUGAACUGAACCCAUCAAGGACCUCUACAUUCAGUCUGAGCAGCUGUUCAGCUCAUCAAGCACUUGGACAGGCAGGCAUUGGUUGUGAAGAAAUUAGCCCUGGCCUGCUGGCCAGAUAAAUUCACUGUGCUGCACUUCAACCUUAUCGCCCUCACUGAGACGUAAACCAACAAAGUCUAACACCCACUCACCCGUGUCUGCCAUCAGACAAUUCUUAACUCUGUUUGCUGAUGUUCAUAAGAUCAACGGGAGGAGUUUGUCUCUAAGAAUCGCCUUUAUAAGAUGUAUUGUGAAGUAAGGUCAUUAUUCUAUGCUAUCCUCUUAUCAAUGCAGUGUCUAACCCCUGCUGGCUUAGCCAAGCUUAGAUCAAGCAAAAUUUAAUGGCAUACUUGUGGGAGCGUGCAUAAUUAGACACACAAACCACACACACACUUUGCUAAAGUGCAUGCACGCGCCCAUUCUCUUCACCCCACACGCAUGUACACACAUACACAACCCCCUCAAUGCAUCAUGCUCUCACAGAGAAACGCAGCAGCGAACCAUUGCAGGCCUGUCUGCCUCUGCCCAAAAUAAACGGCGGGCGACUCACUGGAGUUCCUUGUUGCUAGGGGUUUCCCUGAGGGCGGGAGCCAGAGCCUCUGUUGGUGGGGUGAGUUGGGGGUUUUCUGAUGACGGCAUGUCUAUAAAUAUACACCAUCAGUGCGCUGCCCUGCUUCGUCCUCAGUUUGGUCCAUGCAGGCAAGCUGUACAUUAUCAGAGCAGCCAGAGCAAUCAGACUAAUGCACCGAGUGCUGGAGCUCUCCUCUGUAGUACACACACACUCUGGUGUAUGGCAUCCUCUUAACAGUGGCCUACGUGACAUAAGACAGACAGAGAGAAGAGGGGUGGGUGUGUGUGUGUGUGUGUGCGUCUCUUUUAUUAGUCCCAGAAAUUACCUGAUUUCCAGAUUGUGUUAAAGUUACAAAACCAUGAACAGAAGUGCUGAUUAGAUAUAUUUACUUAGCUAUCAUGAAAUGUAAGAGAAUAAAUAUAAAAUAUGAUGCCAUUUUUAAGAUACCAGCUGAUUUAGAGAAAUAACGUUGGGAAACUUAAUGAGAGACUGAUUUUAACCAAGAAUGGUUGUGUGUUUUUAGAUCCUACACUUCCCAUAAUGCAACUCAAUGGCGUCUCUUCGUUAGACCCUCCAUGACUGUUACGCGCCCAUGUCUUUCAAACUCCCUGCCCCCAGUUUGUAAUGCAGUCCUUCUGUUAAAGCUGGGAAAUGCGAUUCUGGGGAAAUUCAAUACCAUGACAAUUAUCAUGAUAUAGAGCGAACAGCCACACAGCGAGUAAUGUAACUAAUGUUAGCUAGGUUUUGGAUUAGCUUAGCUAGGUUGUGGGUUAGCAAACUGUCCCGACAGUUGCUGCUGCGAAGCUUACAGCCAGAGAGGACGAGAUGGUUUCUCAGAGCCAGCAAACCAGCUCCAGACAGCGAUACUCACAACUCUCCUGCUACUGUAGCAAACUAUGGCUUUUUUAUCAUCUUGUAUCUGUCUAUAGCACACUGUUGUCAACUGAUAUGUUUCCAAGGCAACACUCCACCCUCAUUGGCUCAGUACGCCAUGAAGCUAACUGGCACAGUGUCAUGUGUCAAACUCGUGUAAUUACUGAGCUGUGCAUGUAACCUUCUCAUGUUUACCCACCCUCACACCUUAUCUUGUGUGUUUGGGGAGCUAUAUACAGUAGGGUCUAGGCUGUAAUUAUUAGUAACAUGCCAACUGAAUUUUGCUCUGUAUAUCAGCCCCCCCCCCGCGCUUGUCUCAGUUGAGGUUCGCUGUGUUAAUGCAGUCACAUGUCUCCAUAAUGUGCAGGGUGAACCGUUUGAGGGCUGAGCAUGCUUAAGAGGACAAAUUCAUUAAUGACAUUUUGGGAACAUUGUGUUUUAUAAUUAAACAAAAAUGGGGAGGAAAAGCCAGUUGCACUUAGCAGAUUUUCUGUUCACACAGCUGUGCUGCUGUUUAAUGGUUAGCUUGAGCUAGCUGACUGUUAACUGUAUCAGUAAUGUUGCAGGGUUAAGCAAAACAUUUAGUGUGUGGUCAGAGAUGCUGCCCAAAAAUGAGGUUGUUGACAUCUUGCACCAAAUUACAAAAACAGUGGUAUUGAUAUUGGUAUUGAACUUGCUGAUACUUGAUCUAAAAUGUAGCCAUUCUUACUUUAGUUCAACCAGUCCUGAUGACACUGUUGUAAAAACAUAUUAAACUUGCAUUUCUAGGUGGCUUGUAAUAUGCAGCCUAAGAACUUAAGUUCAGUAUUUGACACACAGACACUAUAAAGACCGUAAGAACAGCACAAACCGUACAGAAGGACGUGCAAGACAAGCUAUGGACCAUAAACCAGAAGAAGGACCAUUUGGCCAACGGCUGCAGUAUUUUCUUAUGUUAAGUGAUGCUUAUGUGUGUGAGACAGACAUAGUAUGAGCCUCCUGUGUGCACUCAAAGGCUGAUGACAUCUACAUAUGCAUGUGUUUUCAUGCGUACACCUUAUGAACAAUUGUUUAAAUGUUCCUUCUCCUUUCGUGUCUGUGUGUGUGUGUGUGUGUGUAUUUGUGUGUGGGCUACUUUGGGGGGCUAACGGGUUCCAGUUGCCUAGUAACACAGUUGAGGGUGCAUAUUGCGCUUAUGAAAGUGUGCGUGCACUUGCGCGCGUGUGUGAGUUGUGCUCCGUGGUGGAGUAUACGAGAUUAUCAUAAUCAUCUCACAGUUACAUUGGGUCUCCCUCAGAGCCGCUCAUUAGCAUAGCAGUGUGAGGAGCCUCUAUGACUGUGCAGCCGUCUCAGAAAACCAUUUCUUUCACAUAGGAACAUUUUUGGAUAGUUUUCCUUUGAAUGUUCCAUUAAAUGAAAUAUGCAUCCCUGGGUGUAUUAUUCCCCUAUGUUAUCAUUUUAUACCUAAUAAAAGUAAUGAAAAGCACAUAGUUCUGUAUUAUUAUCAAACCCCAUCCUUUUCUCUUCCUAUAAAGUGUAAAAAAAUGUUUUGUAUAUAAUAUUAAAUAUUUCAUCUGAUCUCAAUCACUUUUUCUGCAACAGUAAUUUUCCCUCCUGUCUGUAAUUGUGUAUGCAAUAAGAGAACCUCGUAUCCUUUCCUCCCUGACUCUCAUAUUUGCGCCCAGCACUUUUUCAUCAAGCAUGGUCAUUUUAGGAACACAGCUGUCCUCUCAAUACAGUGUUCCAGUUUUUUAUUUGAUUCUCUUCUUCUUGUAUGCAAACCAAGGUUCACUAGUAGCUUAUUUGUUGGACAGAUUGUAUAGCUGGUGAUCUAGCAAAUUAAGCUUAUUUUACUGCACUCAAAAAAAGAGUUUGCAUAAGAGCACAAGAUAAUUAAAUCAGAGAACCUCGUUAGUUUAUUGGGUGUUUUCUAUGGAGCCAUAAGCCUCCAGCUAUGAUACGAUUCGGGAAUCUCUGCCUCUUGACAAUAACAGUUUUCAGAAAGAACCAUAUGUUGGAUAAGUCAGUUAAACUAACUGCUGUAGUAAAAGUCUAAAUCAUGAGUUUUAUUUGGCUCAGCUGGGAGCCACGUCUGUCUGUGAUGCUGGCAGACGUGGGACUUGUUGGUUCGAGAACGGAAAGGGGACUGUGAGAAAGCUGUUGUCCUUGCUAGCAUGAAUAAUACAUGUACCUACUAACUUGGCAGCUCCAGACAGCAAGAAGGGAUCUGGGCACAGUGUUCAGAUGUUCCCCCUCAGCGACUGCACCAAAGUUUGUUAUGUGCUGAAAGUGUCAGAGCGAUUUUUCAUCUGUACUCCGGCUUAUCCCACUGACCUGACUGUGUAGCAACAAAAGGUUAAAACUGUGACAGGGAGCUGGUUUGAAAGAUUACCUUUAUCUUUAUCUUUAUCUGCUGUUUGGAGGGGAGUUGUAAUUUAAGGGCCUUACUUUUUAUGAGUGUAUACAUAUUUUUGUCUCUGCAACUAACAAUUAUUUUCAUUAUUAAUUAAUCUGGCAAUUGAUUGUUUAGGCUGUAAAAUGUAAAAAAAAAAUAUAAUAAAAAUAUCCAUCACAAUUUCCCAUAGCCCAAGGGGAUGUCUCCAAAUGUCUUUUUUUGUUUUUGUUUUGUUUGAUCAAUAGUCCAAAACCCAAGGUAUUAAGUUUGCUAUCAUAGAUGACUACAAAAACCAGCAAAUAUUUACGUUUAAGAAGCUGGUACAUGGUAAAUGUUGGCAUUUUUCUAUUUAAAAAAUGACUUAAUUGAUUUACAGCUCUACAUAUUUGGCAUGGUUGGCCAGAAGGGGAAUGAAACCCAUAACCCUGGUAGUGUUAGUGUUAGUGCUUUUUCUGUCUGUUGAACUACACAGGGAAUCUAAU